rnacentral:lncRNA from 1 species
CCAUCUGGCCUUCCGUCCGUCCGUCGUUCAGCGCGAGGCGAGGUGGAGGUCGCGUCGGCUGGCCGUCAUCCUAGCAGCACCAGCAGCAGUCCGUCAGCGGCCGCUCUCUGCAGUGCGCGCUCAGUGCGCGUGCGCUCUCUCCGCCUGUGACGCGCGCUCCGCUCACGCGCGCCGCCGCGUCCUGUUCUGCAACUGCAGACGUGGUUUAUCCACAGCUCUGCGUCUGGACACACACCACACUCGCGGAAUAUGUGCAUUCAUUUCCAUUCUAUUUAAAAGAAAGAAAGAAAAAAAAAUAUCUCCAUAUAGGAGAAACACACUUAGACAAUGGUUCCAGCUUUUCAGCAUUCUUCAAAAUAUAAUCUCUUGAGUUUAACAAAAGAAAGUCAUGAAUGUUUGAAACAAGUUAAAAGGCGAGUAAAUAAUAAGUUUUGCUGUGUACUAUGCCUUUAAUGUUCCAAUAUUUAUGCAUAUUAAUUAUUUUAUACAUAUAAAUGUGUCCAGCUAUGCAAAGUUCAAUGGGAAUAGAUCAUGUCUCUUUACACGAUAAUGUCCAGAAGACUUGACUGUAAGUGUAAUGUCAGCAUAAUGAUAGCAGAAGAGCAUAAUAAUGAAGGUCCGGCUGUUCUCACCCCACUGGAGAAACAAAAGUAAUGAACAGUAAACCCUGUGGUGUUCUUGAACAGUACUAUAGUAAAGUGUGGUAUACAGUAUCCCGCGUUUACAAUCGUCAUCUGGAGUCAGUUACAGCAGAGUGAAUGUCGAGGAGUCACAGUUAUGAACAUGUCUUCACUGUUAUUACAGUAGUGAUGUGCACAGGCAUUUAAAGGUAUAACCCUUGUUCACAAUUCAUACUAUUCAUGUUUUAUGGUCUGUUUGUAGGUCUAUGCUGAGUUUUACAGGAUUACUCAAACCAACCUCAAAGAUACCUUCUCUUUUUCGGAUGAAUACGCUAUCAAGUUUUAUGGAUCAUGUGGUGGGCGAUAUGGAGAGAUAAUAAGGACCGCCCUGGACCAACUGGACAAUCAAGACACAGAGCCAGAAGAUAUUUGCACAAAAGAGAUGGAGAUGGACAUCCUUAGCACUGUUGAAGAUGAUGUUGCCACUCUUCAGACCAACCCAAAUGUAAGGUGCCUGUCUGUGGUUCUGGAAGAGCAAAUCGUGCUGGAAAAGAUCUUCCGACAGCUGUUGUUCUCCUCUUUGGUUUGAUUAAUUUCCUCAUUAUGAACUACCCCAAAGAACUGAAACUCAUCUUUGACACUAUUCAGAAAGUGUUUAUUGGCCUUGAUCCUCAGUGCUCAGCAAGAGUCCAGUCUUUCAAAAACAAAAUGCAUUUGUUUGUACACUGAAAUUGUGUUACUCUUGGUGUUGUCACGAAACGUAAAUUCAGUUUUGAUUUUACAUUUUCAAAUUUUAAAAACAUCCGUUUCCCACCAAUUGACUGAUUGACUGUUGUGUUCAAGCGCUCAACAUAAAUGACUGUGAUUGGCUGAGAAGUUCACCAUUUCACUGCUCUUCACUGAUGUUCAUGGAGUGCAAACACAGAUACACACACACACACACACACACACACACACACACACACACACACACACACACACAAACUGGAGUGUUUCAAAACGUCGCAUAGUCGAUCCAUCAGCGUAACACUUGUGUCAGCUUAUACACAGAGCAGUUGAUCAAUGUGAAAUUCUUAAGUGUCCCUGUGUCUGUGGUUACACUCAGUAAACAGCAGUGAGUUUGGUGAACUGAUGAUCUUCACGCCCAAUCAGUGUUUUCUGUUGAGCAUGUGAACACAAUGGCAAUAUAACAGUGUUUAAAACAUGGUCAACAACGCUCAAAUGUUAGCAGGAAAUGGACGUUUUUAAAAUGAUAGAACUGAUGGGUAACAAAAUUAAAAUAUCGUGAUAAAACUAAUUACUCUUGCACUUUGAAAAAAAUGUUGAUAGUGCAAGCUUUUUAAAUAUUUCUUUUGCUUAACUCGAGCACUUAAAAGGCAAUAUAGGAUUUGAGGAUUUACCUUUUUGUUGCCUCUUUUCCUUCUCUGGACUGCAGUACAUUUCAUUUGGACAGAAAGCUGUUUGCAGAAUUGUCAAUAAAUAGAUUCUUUGAU